rnacentral:tRNA from 1 species
GCGGAGAUGGAGCAACAGCGGCUCGGCAGGUUCAUACCCUGCAAAUCAGUAAGUGCAAUUCUUACCUCCGUUACCA